GGUAGAUCAGGCAGAUCCAUGGCACCCUCAGAUCCCCGGAAAGGUUUUGCAGGCUACAACAUGGCUAAGCUGUGUGAUGGCAGAGAUUUUUCUUGUUUUGAUCACUGUUUUAUCUGCAAGAUCUACAACUGGCCCAGGGAACUAUGCAAGUAA
rnacentral:lncRNA from 1 species